ACUACAUAACCUUUUAAUGUUGCUGUUACUUGUAUUUUUACAUGAUUUUUAUCACUUCUGCAGAGUGCAGUUCAACGUUUUACGUGUGAAUUUUUUUAUAUUUAUCUGACUAUGUAAUAUAAACAUAAAGUAACAAAUUAUGCAGAGGAAUAUUAAAGUAUUUGUUCAUCAUCAUUGAUUUUGAGAUUACGUGGUCAAAAUUCACGAUUUUAUUACACUUCUUAGUUGUCACAUUUUUGAGACUUUUGUCAUAAGGAUCUGCUUCUAUCAAAGUAUACACAUUCUUUUUAUUGAAAUCUCUGUUUAUAGAGAAGAAAUUUUGAGAUUUUAAACUACUAAUAAAACAGAUUGCUAUCAUAAAGAAACAGCUUACAUGUACAUUUCUGAUUUCAUGUGUAUUAAUACUUUCAUUAAAGACAAGGAAAUAUAUAAAAUCAAACUCAAGAAGUCCUGGCACAGUUUGGCACAGUUUGGCACUACCUGGCACAGUUCUGGUACAAUUCGGCAUAGUUUAGCACAGUUUGGCACAGUAAGACACAGUUUAACACAAUGUGGCACGGUUUAGUAUUGUAACGCAAUAUAGCUAAUUUUCAAAAAUGUUUUUCUUAUAUCAUGAUAAAUUGAUCAGGUAUAGUAUAUUCACAGUAAAUUUUCAUUGACAUACUUUUUAUUUUACAAUAAAUAUACAAUAUUAAUACAAAAAUUAUACACGCAACAUACAGGAUAAACUAAUUUACGUGUCUUCCUAAAAUUCCUUUCACAAUAGUAAUAAUAAAAAUUUGAUUACGCAGUUUCAAUAAUAAACAUGGUCUAUGUAAUCUAGGAUAUUAUACAAUGUCUAGAUCAAUUUUCUGUUCUGCAUUAACGACUCGAAAAUGUGUAAUAUCAACAUUAUCAAUAACCAAAUUGUUUGCUAUUUUUAUAUGAUAAAAAAAAAUAAAUACUUUGAAUUCAUCAUUAUAUUUAAUUUUACAUAUUUUUGAUACAACUCCAAACGUAUUGUCAAUAGUUUGAAUAACGGAAUUAUUUCGUCGCUGACAACGCUUAUAUUGAAUAGUAUUAUAACGAUUUCCAUUGUAUAUCAUUGUUUUGUACAUUUUACAUUCUGUUAUUGUUUGUACACCAAUUAAUUUCUGAAGACAAUUUGAUUCUCGUUUUGAAAAUGUGCAUGCUUUGCCGGGUCCUAUUAAAAUACAUUUAUCAACUUUAUAUAUAUUUUUUAAUUUAUUUUUAUCCAGGUUAUUGCAAUAUUGUUGAACUUUGUCAGAAAUUAAUUGAUUAUUUGGCUGUAACAGUGGCAGUUGUUGGUAAAUUAAUAGUCUUAGUAUUAUUUGCGUGGAAAUACGAUAAUUGCAUUUUUUCAUUCGGAGUAACAGUUUGUUUUCAUUUUCAAAUGGAAAAGUACUUGCAUUAUGUAGCGGACCCCAAUUUUUAACUGUAUCAGUAAGAUGAAUGCACAUUGUAAUGCAUGUAGUUUUUUCCAUAUAAUAUUUCAAAAUUAACAACAAAACGUAUCAAUAGGUUUCUAGCAUUUUCUAACAUUGCAGGCGUUAUAGAAUCUUCUAAUAGAAUAUUCAUAGCACAAACAAACAUAGCUAAGUUAUUAUAAUACUUUUUUGGCAGUACACCGUGUAAGCAAAUCAAAGAAUAAAAUAUUAACCAUGUUAACCAUUCAGAAGCUGUCCAAUUUGCUCUUUCUUUAAUACUUCUUGAAACUUUCGCUAUACAAUUCGGAGGCCUUAUAGACAGUAAACGCUGGUCGAUAAUUAGUAGUUUAUUUGGAGAGCCUACAUAAUAUUUUCGUUUAACAUUUGUUAAUAUAAUCGUAGUAUACAGCUCUGUGACACCUAAAAGGCACGCAUGCAUAAAGUCAACAAUCAUACCAUCAACAA